CUUCUGCGUGCCAUGAACUGUUUCUACUCUGCAAUGCCUGUCUGCAAUGCCACCCUGCCUUGGAGCCAGACGGUUAUGGACUGAAACCUCUAUAAACUUUACUCUGCCUUACAAGAUGUUCCCAAUUGGCUGUGUGGAUCAACUUGGCUUUUCAUUAAUAGAAGAAUUUAAUGUUUUGUACAGUGUCGAACAUAUUUCUGUAUGUGCCCUCUCUGAGAUGGUAAUGAAAAUUUAUUACUGAAGUGCCAAGCCAAUGCAGAGGUGUGGAGUGUGGCUGCAUUCUUCCUGCAAACCUAGAGGUGAGCCAUCACAUUUGAUCCUGCUUCUUCCUGUCAGUGAAGUUUGAGCUUGUUUCCUCAGUGGUAAAAGUGAGGGAUAAUAGUGCCUCCUGUGUGAAUGUGUUGUGAAGUUUAAAUGAGGUAAUGUUAUUAACUAGGUCUCCAGCAUAUAAGUGAGGCUUAAUAAAUAUUAGCUCUUUUGGAACUGAAUGAGCUAGUGCACUGCUGAUUGGGAGGGAGGAAGAGAACUCCAAUGACUGCCGAGAGACUUAUGUUCAAGAGGACCGAGUGGCCACUGCGGGCUGGACCUUCCUGAGAUGAAGACACACCUUGCCCAAGCCUCAGUGGAGAUACUCUUUUAAGGUAAUUGUUGAAGGCAGAAAGUCACUGUGAACAAAGUGCUUUUAAUUCAUUGAAUACAUUUUUCUUAAGCAAUUACUAUGUAAGUUUUACAUCUAUAAUUUCAUUUGCUUCUCAUGAUAAUCUUUGAGAGGUCAAUAUUAUACCUAGUUUAUAUCUAAGCAACUUAAUUUUAAAUAGAGAUUAAGGAAAUAGUUGGACUCCACAAACCCCAUAGUCAAAAAGCCUUUUAUCUCCAAAAUAGCUUCAUUGCCUCUGGAGAGGAGCAAGCCAUGUGUCAGAAGUAAGCAUGACGGUGGCUGAGACAGAUCAAACAUCCCAAAAAACAUUCUCAAUGGGCUGGGCUGGCCAUGAGCACUGCUGAUGAAUUUUGAAGAAUGCCAGUGAUAUCAUAAUAGUCAUAAUAAUACCUAAUAGUGAUUAACAGCUAAGAGCUUAUCAUGAGUGAGGGCUUUAUAUACAUCAUCUCAUUUAAUCUUUACAACAGCCUUACAUGUUCGAUUCCAUUAUUAUAGUUCCUGUAUUUCAGAUAAAGAAAUUGAGCCUUAGAACGUUUAAAUAACUUGUGAGCUCGUUCCCCACAGAGCACCACCAAGUGGACAAGGCCGGUUGAGUCAGAGAACCCAGCAGUCUUCCCAGUCUCACCUGGAGCAGGGCUAUAUGGGUCCACCUCAGGGUGGAAAGCUAAGCAUAGGGGAGAACUGAAGCCAAAACAUCAGCCCCUUAUCACUGCCCAAUGCAUCAUGUCUGGAUUUUCAAGGCAACACUACAAAACAGGCAUCUUUGAAGACUUUUUUACUUCCAGGGUGUUGUGUUUUAAUGUGCUCUCCAAAUUUCAUGUGUUGGAAGCUUUGUCCCCAUUGUGGAAACUUUGAGAAUUAGGACCUUUGGGAGGUGCCUGAGUCCCGAGUGCUCUCUCCUCAGCUGUGUGCUAAUGGGUCAUCAAGGGAAUUGUUUGUUAUAAAGACCAGCUCUCUCUGGCAAGCUUCCUCUGCAGCACCAUGCAUUGUCCUGUGCUGUUAUGUUGUAGGAUGAAGACCCUCACCAGAUGUUGAGGCUAUGCUUUUGGACUUCCCAGCCUCCCAACCAUGAGCUAAAUAAACCUCCAUUCUGUUAAAAAAAAAAAAAAGAAAGAAAGAAAGAAAGUUUAAAUAACUUGUGAUUCCCAAAUCUCUCUGACCCUGAUAUAACAUCCUUAUUACUGCACUUCUUCUCUUGGGGCAAGAGAGGAUGAUAGCACUGAUAUUAAGGUGGGCCUACUAAAGAAGGGUUUAACAGAAUCCAGAGGACCAAAAAGGAAGAAGUGUUCUCUAGCCUGAGCUGGGAAUAGCCCCCGGGUGUACAGUAGUGUAAGCCUAGGAUUAAUACACCUUAGUAUUUGAAUUCAAUACCUCAAUUAAGCAAAGUUGUAAGAAGAAAAGGUGAAGGCAUAUAUGAAUGAGACAGAGCCCAUUUGGAAAUGGAAACAAAAGGGAAAAUGGAAUGCAGGCACCUAGGGAGAAAGAGCAGGUGUUGUCAUAAGGGCUGAGGCUUGCUCAAGAGGGAACAGAAUAUAACUCUGAAAUCUACAAACAUGGUGAAGAAAAACUGACUAGGUUAAGGGACAGGAAAUUAUUUUUUCUCCCUUUGGGCAUCUUCAAACAUUCACCAGUACAUGCCAGCACUGCUUUAUGUUCACUUACUUCAUUUGGUACAAAUUAUUGGUGCCUCUGUGGUCAAUGUCAUGGCAGAAAGCAGCAGCAACCAUGGCAAAAGCUUCAAGAUCAGUGUAGUAUUUCUUUAGUCUUCCUGUCUAAAAAUAGAGAAUGAUACAUAUUUACGUGGGUUUAUAAACAUCUAUUCCCGGUGCAGCAAGACCUGCCUGCAGUGAAGGGGACCCAUUAUGUUUUUACUACAAGUUGGAUUUUCUCUUGUGAAUUUUGUAGCAUUUUGUGCAAUUCCAAAACCUAGCAAGUGAUGGAAAUUUUCUUUAAGAGGCAAAUAAAUGAUUGUCUAAGUGAUAAUCCAAGUGCCCAGGGAUACCCAUGUCAUCUUUAGGGGAUGAGGAUUGUGCUUGUGAAUUUCAAAAUGACAGAUCUGAAAUGAUGGACCAUAUCCAUUUGUCACCAUGCUCAAGUGGGAAAUGUGCAGAUUUCCAGUGAUUUCCAGCAUGCCGUACUUACCAUCAGCAAGGUAAACAUGGUCUGCCCCACGUUGAAUCCAUGCCGCCAGUUGUGACUGGAAGCAACAAAAGACAAGACUAGGGAACUGGAAGAGAAGUUCAUUUCAACCAGAAAUAAUAGAAGUCACCUAAUGACCACACACACACAAAAAAGCACCGAGUCUCUCCAAACGCCAGAAAAGAAGCUGGAGAUGGCAGAUGGUCAUUGUGCCUUGCAGUGGUCUACGUUCUAGUGUCACUUUGGCAUGUCCUCUGGGCAGCCAUGGUACGAGCUAAAAUAAACUAUGCUGUGAUA